rnacentral:rRNA from 2 species
UUAAGCGACUAAGCGUACACGGUGGAUGCCCUGGCAGUCAGAGGCGAUGAAGGACGUGCUAAUCUGCGAAAAGCGCCGGCGAGGUGAUAUGAACCCUUGACCCGGCGAUGUCCGAAUGGGGAAACCCAGUGCAAUCCGACACACUAUCGUUAACUGAAUACAUAGGUUAACGAGGCGAACCGGGGGAACUGAAACAUCUAAGUACCCCGAGGAAAAGAAAUCAACCGAGAUUCCCCCAGUAGCGGCGAGCGAACGGGGAGCAGCCCGGAGUCUGAAUCAGCUUGUGUGUUAGUGGAACGGUCUGGAAAGUCCGACGGUACAGGGUGAUAGUCCCGUACACGAAAACACACAUGCUGUGAACUCGAAGAGUAGGGCGGGACACGUGGUAUCCUGUCUGAAUAUGGGGGGACCAUCCUCCAAGGCUAAAUACUCCUGACUGACCGAUAGUGAACCAGUACCGUGAGGGAAAGGCGAAAAGAACCCCGGCGAGGGGAGUGAAAAAGAACCUGAAACCGUGUACGUACAAGCAGUGGGAGCACCUUCAUGGGGUGACUGCGUACCUUUUGUAUAAUGGGUCAGCGACUUAUAUUCUGUAGCAAGGUUAACCGUAUAGGGGAGCCGAAGGGAAACCGAGUCUUAACUGGGCGUUAAGUUGCAGGGUAUAGACCCGAAACCCGGUGAUCUAGCCAUGGGCAGGUUGAAGGUUGGGUAACACUAACUGGAGGACCGAACCGACUAAUGUUGAAAAAUUAGCGGAUGACCUGUGGCUGGGGGUGAAAGGCCAAUCAAACCGGGAGAUAGCUGGUUCUCCCCGAAAGCUAUUUAGGUAGCGCCUCGUGAACUCAUCUUCGGGGGUAGAGCACUGUUUCGGCUAGGGGGCCAUCCCGGCUUACCAACCCGAUGCAAACUACGAAUACCGAAGAAUGUUAUCACGGGAGACACACGGCGGGUGCUAACGUCCGUCGUGAAGAGGGAAACAACCCAGACCGCCAGCUAAGGUCCCAAAGUCAUGGUUAAGUGGGAAACGAUGUGGGAAGGCACAGACAGCCAGGAUGUUGGCUUAGAAGCAGCCAUCAUUUAAAGAAAGCGUAAUAGCUCACUGGUCGAGUCGGCCUGCGCGGAAGAUGUAACGGGGCUAAACCAUGCACCGAAGCUGCGGCAGCGACACUAUGUGUUGUUGGGUAGGGGAGCGUUCUGUAAGCCGUUGAAGGUGUGCUGUGAGGCAUGCUGGAGGUAUCAGAAGUGCGAAUGCUGACAUAAGUAACGAUAAAGCGGGUGAAAAGCCCGCUCGCCGGAAGACCAAGGGUUCCUGUCCAACGUUAAUCGGGGCAGGGUGAGUCGACCCCUAAGGCGAGGCCGAAAGGCGUAGUCGAUGGGAAACAGGUUAAUAUUCCUGUACUUGGUGUUACUGCGAAGGGGGGACGGAGAAGGCUAUGUCAGCCGGGCGACGGUUGUCCCGGUUUAAGCAUGUAGGCGGAGGUUCCAGGUAAAUCCGGUACCUUUUAACGCUGAGGUGUGAUGACGAGGCACUACGGUGCUGAAGUGAUAAAUGCCCUGCUUCCAGGAAAAGCCUCUAAGCAUCAGGUAACACGAAAUCGUACCCCAAACCGACACAGGUGGUCAGGUAGAGAAUACCAAGGCGCUUGAGAGAACUCGGGUGAAGGAACUAGGCAAAAUGGUGCCGUAACUUCGGGAGAAGGCACGCUGAUAUGUAGGUGAAGCCCCUGCGGGCGGAGCUGAAAUCAGUCGAAGAUACCAGCUGGCUGCAACUGUUUAUUAAAAACACAGCACUGUGCAAACACGAAAGUGGACGUAUACGGUGUGACGCCUGCCCGGUGCCGGAAGGUUAAUUGAUGGGGUUAGCGGCAACGCGAAGCUCUUGAUCGAAGCCCCGGUAAACGGCGGCCGUAACUAUAACGGUCCUAAGGUAGCGAAAUUCCUUGUCGGGUAAGUUCCGACCUGCACGAAUGGCGUAAUGAUGGCCAGGCUGUCUCCACCCGAGACUCAGUGAAAUUGAACUCGCUGUGAAGAUGCAGUGUACCCGCGGCAAGACGGAAAGACCCCGUGAACCUUUACUAUAGCUUGACACUGAACACUGGUCCUUGAUGUGUAGGAUAGGUGGGAGGCUUUGAAGCGUGGACGCCAGUCUGCGUGGAGCCGCCCUUGAAAUACCACCCUUUAAUGGCUGGUGUUCUAACGUAGACCCGUGAUCCGGGUUGCGGACAGUGUCUGGUGGGUAGUUUGACUGGGGCGGUCUCCUCCCAAAGAGUAACGGAGGAGCACGAAGGUUGGCUAAUCCUGGUCGGACAUCAGGAGGUUAGUGCAAUGGCAUAAGCCAGCUUGACUGCGAGCGUGACGGCGCGAGCAGGUGCGAAAGCAGGUCAUAGUGAUCCGGUGGUUCUGAAUGGAAGGGCCAUCGCUCAACGGAUAAAAGGUACUCCGGGGAUAACAGGCUGAUACCGCCCAAGAGUUCAUAUCGACGGCGGUGUUUGGCACCUCGAUGUCGGCUCAUCACAUCCUGGGGCUGAAGUAGGUCCCAAGGGUAUGGCUGUUCGCCAUUUAAAGUGGUACGCGAGCUGGGUUUAGAACGUCGUGAGACAGUUCGGUCCCUAUCUGCCGUGGGCGCUGGAGAAUUGAGGGGGGCUGCUCCUAGUACGAGAGGACCGGAGUGGACGCAUCACUGGUGUUCGGGUUGUCAUGCCAAUGGCACUGCCCGGUAGCUAAAUGCGGAAGAGAUAAGUGCUGAAAGCAUCUAAGCACGAAACUUGCCCCGAGAUGAGUUCUCCCUGAGACUUUAAGUCUCCUGAAGGAACGUUGAAGACGACGACGUUGAUAGGUCGGGUGUGUAAGCGCAGCGAUGCGUUGAGCUAACCGAUACUAAUGAACCGUGAGGCUUAACCUU